UGACGCGGAGNGACCCCAAAAAUAAAGUCCCAGUUCGGAUUGCAGUCUGCAACUCGACUGCAUGAAGCUGGAAUCGCUAGUAAUCGCGGAUCAGAAUGCCGCGGUGAAUACGUUCCCGGGUCUUAUACACACCGCCCGUCACACCAUGGGAGUCAGAAAUGCCCGAAGUCUGUGACCCAACCUACGGGAGGGAGCAGCCGAAGGCAGGUCGGAUGACUGGGGUGAAGUCGUAACAAGGUACC
rnacentral:rRNA from 1 species